rnacentral:rRNA from 1 species
CGUAGGGUGCAAGCGUUGUCCGGAAUUAUUGGGCGUAAAGAGCUCGUAGGCGGUCUGUCGCGUCGGAUGUGAAAACCCGGGGCUUAACCCCGGGCCUGCAUUCGAUACGGGCAGACUCGAGUGUGGUAGGGGAGACUGGAACUCCUGGUGUAGCGGUGAAAUGCGCAGAUAUCAGGAAGAACACCGGUGGCGAAGGCGGGUCUCUGGGCCACUACUGACGCUGAGGAGCGAAAGCGUGGGGAGCGAACAGGAUUAGAUACCCUGGUAGUCCACGCCGUAAACGUUGGGCGCUAGGUGUGGGGGACUUUCCACGUCCUCCGUGCCGCAGCUAACGCAUUAAGCGCCCCGCCUGGGGAGUACGGCCGCAAGGCUA